rnacentral:ribozyme from 17 species
GCUGCUCGUAAUAAUCACACACCUCUUCGUGGUGAGCAGCAGGCAACGAUCUUAUGGUCGGCGAAGAUGUGAAG